UACGAAGGACCCAAGCGUUAUCCGGAUUCAUUGGGCUUAAAGGGUGCGUAGGCGGGUUGAUAAGUCAGUGGUGAAAGCCCAACGCUUAACGUUGGAACUGCCAUUGAUACUGUCGAUCUUGAAUGUGUUUGAUGUGGGCGGAAUAUGACAUGUAGCGGUGAAAUGCUUAGAUAUGUCAUAGAACACCGAUUGCGAAGGCAGCUCACAAAGCCACUAUUGACGCUGAGGCACGAAAGCGUGGGGAUCAAACAGG
rnacentral:rRNA from 1 species